AACCUAUAUCUCGAUAUAAUCCCUAUAAAAGAUAUUGUUCUGUUUACGGAUGUCUAAAGAACAAGGUUGCAGAAAUAACAUUUUAUUAAAUUCCGGACGAUAUUGAAAGGUGAAUUUAAACUUUAAAACAUAACAUAAAUACUAAGUAAUCAAAUUCGACAACUAAUUCGUUUUGUUUGCAUAAAUGAUUAUUGGUGGCCCAGAAACAAUAUUAGGAACUGACCGACAUAUUUUCAAAGGAAUACGGAUGUGGCAUAUCUACCUACUUCCGUAAGAAUCAGACAUACUAUGUCCGGAUAAAAAAAAUAUGUUUACAGAAUCAACGUUAGUAAUUCCUACAUAUUAAUCUUAAAAAUAAUAAAUCGGUAGGUAUAGGUACAAAAAUUUGUCAAGUUUCAACCCUGUGCCGACGCUCACAGCUCGGUCAUAAAACUGCGGCGCGCAAGGAAGAUUCACGGUUCGUGCGCGGUUACGUAGGUAUAUAAGUUUCAAUUUUGCGUGCAGGUGGCGAGUAUAGGUAUAAUUUUAUACCUAAAUGUGACUUUUGUGAACGAGUGAAUUUUCUGUACGGUAGUACUAUUAGUUAUUCUGUGGUCGCGGGUUCAAACCCCGGCUCGUACCAAUGAGUUUUUCGGAACUUAUGUACGAAAUAACAUUUGAUAUUUACCAGUCGCUUUUCGGUGAAGGAAAACAUCGUGAGGAAACUGGACUAAUCCCAAUAAGGCCUAGUUUACCCUCUGGGUUGGAAGGUCAGAUGGCAGUCACUUUCGUAAAAACUAGUGCCUACGUCAAAUC